rnacentral:lncRNA from 1 species
AUGACAACAGAUUUCGUUACUAUAAUGUUGCUGCUCCGUUUCAGUUCAGUUUUGCGUAUUCUUGUAAAAGUAAUUGAAUACUUCAACACUUUUAUCAUGGCUCGAUCAAUGAGAUUGUUUCGUUUUGUUAAGGCAAGUUUGUUUUUAUGCAGAGCACUUUUUCCCCCAUUAAAAACUUAUCGCUGCCGAAAUCACUUGCAUCUCUUUACUUACUUUCAUGCCUCAUUAAGAUGCCUAAAAGAAAUGCCACACCAGACUUAUUUGUUUUGAGCACGCAGAAUGAAGAACCAGGGGAAAAAUUGACAGAUUACUUCACAAAAACUUCAUUGAAAUGAUUCGACGUAGGUUGUAAAAUUUGAAGUUGUAAAAACUUAAAAUAAGAGGUUUUAGACUUUUUUAAACACUCUGAAUGUUUCGUAAAAAAAGUGACAAUAGGCAAUAUCAAGGAUUAGAGCACGUAAGUUUAACUCUUUGUGACUGGAGAGUAAUUAAAUCAAAGAAGAGUGAAUUUUUGUUUUAUUUUAUAAAUAUUCUACCGUUGAAUCCCCGUUCAUAACCAUGAAAAAGUUUCCAUCCUCCUUUUCGUGGACAACCCUUGAUUCCAGGUGCGCAUUGUGUUUACAGGCUCCACUUUUUGAGCUAUUUUUCUGAGGAAAAUCUACGAAGUUGAAUUUUGAACCACGCCAUCUGUCAGGUAUUGAUUUUGAAAAAAUGUAAAAAUAUGAGAAAAUUGCCGGCUGAGUAUCCUGAAUGGCACACAUUUAUAACUUAAAAUUUUGCCUUAAAUUAAAGAGUUAGUGAGGAGACUCAAUUCUCGUAAAUCGAUGAUACAGCAUCAUUGAUGCGUGUUUUUUCAAUGAGUAGCUGCCAUCAUUUUAAAUGGCGAAAAUUAUGCAAUUAAUGUACAUACAGAAAUUUUGAGCCGAAGGGAGCUUCGGUAAAAGGUCAUGCAACGCUUGCAACGCUGUUAAGAUUGCGCACCCUAGGUCUUUAUAAGUCACUGACCUAUCCUAACGCUCUGUUAUGCAUUUUUCCCGAACUAGUUUCGAAUUUUCCGAUGUAAAUAACUCGACCUUCACAAAAUGCAUUUUUUUCCAAAUCAUAUGUUCAACUGCACCAGUUGCCUUGCAAGAAUUGUAACGAUAACCGAAGUGUGAAACCACGUAUCUCCGUUUGCGACGUAGUUUAUUUCCUGUCAUACUUUAUUUUUCUUAGAAAAAACUAGGUAACGUAAUUUCUCGAAAUCUUCUCUGAUUUUUCUUCAAUGUUUGCACAAUAUUCCGCACAAGUUUUAAGCUUUUUGAAAAAAAUAAAAUAGGAGGAAAUUUUGAAACACCGCCAUGGAGAUACGUGGAUUCACACUCCAGCCAUCGAUGAGCUCAUUUGCCGAUAAUGGCCUUAACUGGACCGAGUUAAGCAGAAAGGAACCAACCCUUAUUUUGGAAAAAAAUUGAGUUAUGAGUGGUUUUGAAUUCAACCACUGCUCCACUAUCUAUCUCCAAAAAUUCAGAGUUUUUGUCGGAGCAAAUUAUGCAGGAAUUGAACUUGAAGUUUAUCUUUUACAUUGAGUCUUAUGCAGGAGCCAAACUUUAAACCUCUUUUUCUCGGUUCGAUCUCGAUGUGGCUUGGUUCGUUUCUGUUUAACUCCGUCCAAUUAUCGCAGGCAUUAUGAGACUUUCAUUUCUUGCAAAAAAGGAAAAAAAAUUACUCACCUAUUUAAUUAACUUCGGUAAUCAAAGAUAUAACACGGCUAGAUGCGGGUAAAAUAUCACCAAUGAAACGCAGUUUCCACAACCACUGUCACUUCUUCAUGAUAUCAGCCAGUCUAAAAGGGGUGGGAAUCGAAGCCGGACCAUUCGCACUGGAAAUGCGGCUCGCGAAUCUCAAUUUGCGAAUUCGAUUUCGCGAUGUUAUCAGGUGAGGAGGAAGGCGAGCCGAGUUGAGAAUUUCAAGCGCCGAGCCGAACCGCUGCGGCCUGGGGAGCGCGACCAAAGAGAGCCGACGGCCUUCGGCACACGCCGCGGUAGAUUAAAGUUCCCCCACCGCUCGCCCAUUGUUGUGCUUAUGUUUUGGGCGCUAAGAGGGGGAGUGAUUGACAGAGCUUUGCAGAACUUUGGCUUAAUUAUUCAGCGCUGUCGUGAUUUUUUCAAUUCAAGCAGGAGGUGUGGACAGGACCGCGGUGCUUACGAACCAGCCGAUGUCACACACCGUUAAAAAUCGAGGAGUGAAAUUCGGGGGUGAAAUCUGUAUUGUCACCUUCCGGCCAAAGUAUCACAAGCGCCACACUGGAAAAAAAAGAAUCUUAAAUUUGCCGCAAAG